rnacentral:rRNA from 1 species
UACAGAGAGUGCAAACGUUGUUCGGAAUUACUGGGCGUAAAGCGUGCGCAGGCGGUUUUGUAAGCCAGAUGUGAAAUCCCCGGGCUUAACCUGGGAAUGGCAUUUGGGACUGCAAGGCUCGAGUGCGGCAGAGGAGACUGGAAUUCCUGGUGUAGCAGUGAAAUGCGUAGAUAUCAGGAGGAACACCGAUGGCGAAGGCAGGUCUCUGGGCUGACACUGACGCUCAUGCACGAAAGCGUGGGGAGCAAACAGG